GACGGAGGAUGCAAGCGUUAUCCGGAAUGAUUGGGCGUAAAGCGUCCGCAGGUGGCAGUUCAAGUCUGCUGUCAAAGACCGGGGCUUAACUUCGGAAAGGCAGUGGAAACUGAACAGCUAGAGUAUGGUAGGGGCAGAGGGAAUUCCUGGUGUAGCGGUGAAAUGCGUAGAGAUCAGGAAGAACAUCGGUGGCGAAGGCGCUCUGCUGGACCAUAACUGACACUCAGGGACGAAAGCUAGGGGGAGAAUGGG
rnacentral:rRNA from 1 species